AUAUUGUUGUGAUUCAUUAUUCUGCAGGACAUGCUAGAUCCUUGAGUAGAUCACUGGAACGUGGAAAUCUAUUGAGACUCUGCACCCUAUCGCAAGCAUAUCCCCUAAGCUUGUGUAAACACAGAUUGGCUCUGGCGUGGUGGCCCCAGGGGCUAUCAAUGGCAGAAUCACGUGUUACCUGCUCGUUGGCAGCAGUGAGAGUUCGCACACCAGCUGUCCCGUUUUCAACCAAUGCCCAUUCUCGGCUGAGGAGUCACAGGGACCGCAAGACUGCAUUGUGCUACAGUUUUAAGC